AGAAUGUGUGGCCAAAACGGGGAUGAUCUUGCUCUGUGGAGAGAUCACUUCCAAAGCUGUAGUGGAUUAUCAGCAAAUUGUGCGAGAGACCCUCAAGAGGAUAGGCUAUGAUGACUCUUCAAAAGGAUUAGACUAGAAGACUUGUACAGUGCUGAUAGCUCUAGAACAACAGUGUGAAGAAAUCAAACAUACUGUCUCCGAUGGCAAGAGUGACGAAGACAUUGGAUCUGGGCACCAGGUCACAAUGGAAUACAAAGAAAAGGAUGGAGCAGUGGAGCCCAUCUGUGUACAGACAUUGGUGAUCUCUGUACAUCAUGCACCCAAUAUGCCUGUACAACAAAUGCGGAAAGAACUAAUGGAAAAAGUUGUCAAAGAAGUGAUUCCAGCAAAAUAUCUAGAUGAGAACACAAUCUAUCAUCUCCUUCCAAGUGAAGUGUUUAUAGAAGGUGGUCCUAAGGCAUCUUGCUACAUAGGUGGGAACUAUGUGCACCUCUUAAACGGGGGGUUGAAGUUCAUGCACCCCCGUGUGCACUGGAUGGCAUUAUGCCUGGGAGUCAGAUGACCUUUGCUGGAGUGCUGCAGCUCC